rfam:Oryza sativa Japonica Group DNA, chromosome 3, cultivar: Nipponbare, complete sequence.
UUGCAGUAGAAUAGUGUGGGUUUCUGUAUCUAACGUUUGACUGUCCAUCUUAUUUUAAAAAAUUAAAUAAAAUAAGUCACAAAUAAAGUAUCAUUCAUGUUUUAUCAUAUAAUAAUAAUAAAAAUAUUGUUUAUAAAAAUAUUUCAAAUAAAACGGAUGAUAAAACGUUGCGCGCAUAAACCCACAAUUACAUUUAAA